rnacentral:lncRNA from 1 species
AUCCUUCACCUGUUGCCUGGCUAGAGUUGUCUGGCUCCACUUUGAGCUCUUGCAGAACCAGCCCUUUUUCGUGUGGUCCAGGAAAGUCCAUGCCUGGCACCACCUCCUCCUCUAGUGACUCCACGUAGAAGAGAGUCCUGGCUGGCUGCUGAGUGCCCUGCCCAGGAGCCCCUUGCUGCAGCCUCGUGGCAACUGGAAGCAGGGUGCCAUUCAGCGGAUUGAAGGAAGAGGAGGAAGAGGACGGGGAGGACGAUGAAGAGGAAGAGGAGGAAGGCUUCUUCCAGAAAGUGCUCACACCGCUUCUCUCUUGGCUUUUGAGCAGGCGACUCUGGCUGGGUCCCCAGUGCUCAAAGCUGCCACUGCCGUCCUGUUGCAGGCAGCCUCCCCCCGCCGGGCCGCCGGUGGAAGGAGACGGGUGGCUGAAGAGUUUCCAGCGGAGUCGCAGAAUGUGCUUCACAUCGAAGUCUUUUCGCCCAGAGCCUGACAUGCUUUACGCACAGAAGGCAAAAGGCUGGCAGCUCACGCAGGAUUCUGGAGGCUGGGAAGUUCAAGACCAAUGCACGAGAAUUUGGUCUAAAGAGAAUCUUCUUGCUCUGAACACACAUAGUAGAAGGCAGAAGGGCAAGAGAGAGAACAAAGUCUGUGUCUCCACAUGGCAGAAGAGCAGAGGAGACAGAACCUACUCCUCUAUGGCAACCACCCCAUCAAUGACAAAAAUCCUAGAAGGAUGUAUGUAUAGGAAGUUGAAGUGUUGAGAAGAGAAUGGCUCAGAGUCAAGCGGGAACAAGUUCUAUAUCUGGAUAAAGUGCGAAGGAGCUUAAAUCUGUUGAAACCCAAAAUUUGCCUCCGUUUAAUGGCUUAGUUUCUUCUGUCUAAUGGUAACUGGAAUUUCCCUUUCUAAUUGUGUAUUGAAGAACGAGAACGACUCAUGUUUAAGUGUUAGAUGUAAGUCAUUUCAUAAUUACUCGUGCACUUCAAAAACAACAAAAAUAAAAUCAAAAUCAUAGAUUAUAUGGAAAGCUCAAUUCAAAAUUUGUAAAAUGUAGCAUUUUGUUGCAUUUUAUAGGAAAACAUAGGAUUGUAAUAACAUUAAAUUAUGUAUAUAUUUUUACUCUUCAUUAAAUGAAAU